GGUUGGGCUACAGAAUCCUGGGACACAGAAGAUGCAAAGGGGUUGCUUAGCAACCAUGGGGCCAGAUUGUACUGGGAAUGAUGAGGGGCCCUCAGGAAGAUCCCAGUCCUUUUUCUUUUCAGGAUCCAGGGACCAAUGCAUCCCACCAUCACCAUCUUUGUGUCACCUGUCAACUUAUGCUCAGGAUCAGGGCUUAUACAGCCCCACAGAUGCUGAUGGACUAACCCCCCACUCACCCAUAGCCAGUGGUGGGAUUCCUGAGAACUACAGUCCAUCAACACUUGGAGGGCACAUAAUGACCACUUCUGGCCUAGCAUCAGGAAUGGAGAAGCCUGAACAAAGCAUGGAACAGCUGGAGGAGGAGGAGAGGGUGAGAGAAGAAAUGCCAAAUCUCCCAGUAUUACGACUGACUCUUAGCUGCACCAUUACCUGUGACUUUAGAGCUCUCAGAGAAGCAGAUGCCAUUUGAAAAGGAGGCUAAAUUAAUCUUGUGCUUACAUGGGGGGAAAGCAUUAAGAAACACACAUGAGAUGAUGGACUCAUGCAUGUGCUUGUUUUCCUAUAGAGGUGGCUGGACAUUUUGGCCUGGUGUGGAACAGCUUUAUUUCAUUUAAGGUUCUGUAGGUGGUACUAUUUAUUGCAGUAAGUUGUAGCAGGACCAACUGUAUGUGUGUUAAAGAAAAAUCUUAUGAUGAUAAUUACUAGGUGCAGUUGGUAAUGUAGGUCAACCAGCAACCUUGGAUCUCACCCAACAGGGUAUAACUGUGUGUGUUUUUAGAAUACAGUUCUGGAGAGUUUUUCUCUCUGAGGAGAUCUAUGCUCAAAGGCUCUGCUCUGAGGAGCAGGUUGGAGAGAAGCCAUUAUGCUGCUCUAAAGGAGACUAUGGUGGAACAGCUGUUUGCUCAAGGUUUGUUUUGUUUUCUCAUUUGACAUAAGAUGAAGAUGCCUUAUUUUGUGUUACUUACAAAGACUAUGUAAAGUUUCUUGCGCUGCUGGUUCUGUAUACAACAUUGCAAGUUUAUAUUUCAUCUCUGCUAUUAAGAGUAAAGAUUUUUCUGUUCAUUUC